rnacentral:snRNA from 1 species
AUAAUAAUGACAUUGUAGUUCCGAUAAAAUUAGAACGAUACAAAGAAGAUUAUCAUGGCCCCUGCGCAAGGAUGAUACGUACAUUCUUAUUUUUGUUACUACUAUUA